rnacentral:rRNA from 1 species
GACGAACGCUGGCGGCGUGCUUAACACAUGCAAGUCGAACGGAAGGGCCCUGCUUUUGUGGGGUGCUCGAGUGGCGAACGGGUGAGUAACACGUGAGUAACCUGCCCUUGACUUUGGGAUAACUUCAGGAAACUGGGGCUAAUACCGGAUAGGAGCUCCUGCUGCAUGGUGGGGGUUGGAAAGUUUCGGCGGUUGGGGAUGGACUCGCGGCUUAUCAGCUUGUUGGUGGGGUAGUGGCUUACCAAGGCUUUGACGGGUAGCCGGCCUGAGAGGGUGACCGGCCACAUUGGGACUGAGAUACGGCCCAGACUCCUACGGGAGGCAGCAGUGGGGAAUAUUGCACAAUGGGCGGAAGCCUGAUGCAGCAACGCCGCGUGCGGGAUGACGGCCUUCGGGUUGUAAACCGCUUUCGCCUGUGACGAAGCGUGAGUGACGGUAAUGGAUAAAGAAGCACCGGCUAACUACGUG